rnacentral:rRNA from 1 species
UCAAGCUCGUGUCGUGAGAUGUUGGGUUAAGUCCCGCAACGAGCGCAACCCCUGUUUCUAGUUGCCAGCAUUAAGUUGGGCACUCUAGAGAGACUGCCGAUGACAAAUCGGAGGAAGGUGGGGAUGACGUCAAAUCAUCAUGCCCUUUAUGCCCUGGGCUACACACGUGCUACAAUGGUCGGUACAACGAGGAGCAAACCAGUGAUGGCAAGCAAAUCUCUAAAAGCCGAUCCCAGUUCGGAUUGUAGGCUGCAACUCGCCUACAUGAAGUCGGAGUUGCUAGUAAUCGCGGAUCAGAAUGUCGCGGUGAAUGCGUUCCCGGGUCUUGUACACACCGCCCGUCACACCAUGGGAGUUGUCAAUACCCGAAGCCAGUGAGCUAACCAGUAAUGGAGGCAGCUGUCGAAGGUAGGGGCGAUGACUGGGGUGAAGUCGUAACAAGGUAGCCGUAA